GAGGAAUAUUGGUCAAUGGGCGAGAGCCUGAACCAGCCAAGUCGCGUGAAGGAAGACUGCCUUAUGGGUUGUAAACUUCUUUUAUACAGGAAUAAAAAGGCUUACGUGUAGGCCAUUGCAAGUACUGUAUGAAUAAGCAUCGGCUAACUCCGUGCCAGCAGCCGCGGUAAUACGGAGGAUGCGAGCGUUAUCCGGAUUUAUUGGGUUUAAAGGGUGCGCAGGCGGGCUUUUAAGUCAGCGGUGAAAUCUGGACGCUUAACGUCCAAACUGCCGUUGAAACUGGGAGUCUUGAAUCCAGAAGAGGGUAGUGGAAUUCCAAGUGUAGAGGUGAAAUUCGUAGAUAUUUGGAAGAACACCAGUGGCGAAGGCGACUACCUGGUCUGGCAUUGACGCUCAUGUGCGAAAGCGUGGGGAGCAAACA
rnacentral:rRNA from 1 species